rnacentral:sRNA from 2 species
CUCCAGCAGUGCUCUCAGAUCAUUGACGAGAUGAUGAAUUAUGGGGAGACGAGCAUUUCCGGCAGCUUUUGCGUCCGAUUUUGAGGAGUGCCAAAAGUCCUCGAUAGCCAAUUGGCUUGCUUUUGUUUAGUAUGCUUCUAGCAUUCUCCAAUUGUACAUGGAGAAUUUGUUGGCUUGAGGGAAACUCUAGGUCAGGAUGGAUUUGCAAGAAGCUCAAGACCUAUUCGAUGCUUCCGUUAUUUCUCGUCCUUCGCGAGGGCCCAAUGUAUGAAUGUACUGUACAGAAAGCAUUCAUCCUAUGAACCAUGGACACGACCCUAGCCUGGAGAGGCCGCAGUGGGACUCGUUUCACCCCUGGUUUCUCCAGUAUAUCGAUUUCCAGGAGCGCAAACCCUUCCUCCAGAUCCUCAAUGGUGUUCGUGCGGCUGAGAUGGUCCCUCUUGUUCACCUACCGUUACUACUUCAUUUUCUGGGAUAUGAAAAGAACAACCAC